rnacentral:misc_RNA from 1 species
GUGGGAGUCGACAAUACAAGAAAAGGUUCAAAUAAGACUAAAAGAUCGAACAAAUGGCGAAUUCAAUUAUUUCCCUUUAAAACGAAAGAACAACAGAAGAUACUUCCUCAACAGAACUUUGUCAUCAACAGUGUGAUUGCAUGGAGUCUCAUUAAUUAACCACGGGAACCUUUAUGCUUCUGUCUGCUCCCUCUACAUGCCUUACUAUAGCCUCAACAACAGCUUGAGUAACAUUUUUCACAUCUAGACCAUCUUGUUCUUCUUCUUCAGAUACAACAAUGGCUUCCAUGCCAAAGUAGAAGUUGCAUGACACCUUAGCAUGCAACACAACUAGACCCAUUUCUUCGAAGACCUCUAAUAUUGGAAUGAGAUUGUCUCCUCCCUUCUGGCAAAUCACCUUUACCAGAAAUCCUUUCCCAGUUUUCUCUACCUUCACCUUGGGU